rnacentral:miRNA from 1 species
AGGCAGCCCUGUGCUUCAGCUCAGGCCUGAGUGCAGGCUGCUCCAGGCUGGGGUUGGUGGCAGCACUUC